AUUGAACGCUGGCGGCAUGCCUUACACAUGCAAGUCGAACGGCAGCGGGCCUUCGGGUGCCGGCGAGUGGCGAACGGGUGAGUAAUGCAUCGGAACGUGCCAUUGAGUGGGGGAUAACGUAGCGAAAGUUACGCUAAUACCGCAUAUUCUGUGAGCAGGAAAGCAGGGGACCGCAAGGCCUUGCGCUCUUUGAGCGGCCGAUGUCAGAUUAGCUAGUUGGUGAGGUAAAGGCUUACCAAGGCGACGAUCUGUAGCGGGUCUGAGAGGAUGAUCCGCCACACUGGAACUGAGACACGGUCCAGACUCCUACGGGAGGCAGCAGUGGGGAAUUUUGGACAAUGGGCGCAAGCCUGAUCCAGCCAUGCCGCGUGAAGCGAAGAAGGCCUGG
rnacentral:rRNA from 1 species